GGGGACGUCCUGGCUUCGACGCCGGUAGCGAAACCUGAGGUGCAUGCCGAGAGUGAAGUGGCUCUCGUAAAUCAAUCGCUUCAACGUUAUAGUCGCAAACGACGACUCUUACGCUCUAGCCGCUUGAGGCUACUCAUGAAACCAUGUUGCCUAUCGCAGGCGGAUUGAGAUUAUUGAGCGCAGCCAGAUAGGAUCGCAGCAAAGAUAGCCCACGUUGGCGCUGCUAAAACUAAACUGUGGGAUCGCUGUCAACUAUCCUGUUCGUUGGAGAGUUGCCGGUUAAAACAAAUAGCGAAACUAAGCAUGUAGAUCUGAUGGCAGAGUGCCGGCGGACGCGGGUUCAACUCCCGCCGUCUCCACCA
rnacentral:tmRNA from 1 species